rnacentral:tRNA from 1 species
GCCUUCGUAGCUCAGUGGUAGUAGCGCAGCACUCGUAAUGCUGAGGUCGCGUGUUCGAUCCACGCCGGAGGCU